rnacentral:misc_RNA from 1 species
GAAAUGCGAUACGUAAUGUGAAUUGCAGAAUUCCGUGAAUCAUCGAAUCUUUGAACGCACAUUGCACUCUGUUUCGGCAGAGUAUGCCUGUUUGAGAAUCUAUAGUAUUCAUUCUCCAAUCUUGGGUAUUUAUACCUAUGCGAGGAGAGAUUUGAGGCGUCGCACUUACACUGCGUGCUUUUAAAACUAUUGCUGCUGGAUACUGUCAAGUAACGGAAAAGUAUGUGUAUGAGACUUCGGUUUCUCUAAUACUCAGUACGGGUGAUGGUGUAUGUCCGGCACUCAACUAUUAAAGGCAACCUUUCGGGGUUGACUUGAACCAUGGUCUCAAAUCAGGCAGGAAGACCCGCUGAACUUAA